GAUGAACGCUGGCGGCGUGCCUAACACAUGCAAGUCGAACGGAGUCCAGCCUUUAAGACCUUCGGGUCAAAGAGGGGAAGACUGAGUGGCGGACGGGUGAGUAACACGUGGGCAACCUGGCUCAUAGAGGGGGAUAACAGAGAGAAAUUUCUGCUAAUACCGCAUAAGCACACACUGCCGCAUGGCAGAGGGUGAAAAGAGAAUCGCUAUGAGAUGGACCCGCGUCUGAUUAGCCAGUUGGCAGGGUAAGGGCCUACCAAAGCGACGAUCAGUAGCCGAUCUGAGAGGAUGAACGGCCACAUUGGGACUGAGACACGGCCCAAACUCCUACGGGAGGCAGCAGUGGGGGAUAUUGCACAAUGGGGGGAACCCUGAUGCAGCGACGCCGCGUGAGUGAAGAAGUAUUUCGGUAUGUAAAGCUCUAUCAGCAGGGAAGAUAAUGACAGUACCUGAAUAAGAAGCCCCGGCUAACUACGUG
rnacentral:rRNA from 1 species